GAGCAAUACUACGUGAAGAGAAGUCUACGGAUGUAAACUUCUGUUAGUGCGAAGAAGGGCUAAGCACAAGUUUAGCCUUGACGGUACGCACAGAGAAAGCCACGACUAACUACGUGCCAGCAGUCGCGGUAAGACGUAGGUGGCGAACGUUAUCCGGGAAUUAUUGGGCGUAAAGGGUGCGUAGAUGGUAUGAUAAGUUAUUGGUGGUAAAUCGGGGCUCAACCUCGUGGAAGCUCGUAAUACUGUUAUACUUGAGUACAGGAGAGGUUAAUGGAAUUCCCUGUGGAGCGGUAAAAUGCGUUAGAUAUAGGGAGGAACACCAAUAACGGCGAAGGCAAUUAACUAUCCUGCUACUGACAUUGAGGCACGAAAGCGUGGGGAGCAAAAAGGAUUAGAUACCCUUGUAGUCCACGCCCUAAACGAUGAGUGCUAGAUAUUGGACAUUUUAUGUUCAGUGUCGCUAGUUAACACGGUAAGCACUCCGCCUGGGUAGUACGGUCGCAAGGCUGAAACUCAAAGGAAUUGACGGGGACUCGCACAAGCAGUGGAGCAUGUGGUUUAAUCCGAUACAACGCGUAGAACCUUACCAAGGCUUGACAUGUUCGGCAAAAUUAGGGAAACCUAAUGGAGGUUAUCCGGACACAGGUGCUGCAUGGCCGUCGUCAGUUCGUGCCGUGAGGUGUAUGGUUAAGUCCUAUAACGAACGUAACCCUUAGGUUUAGUUGCCAGCAUUCAGUUGGGGACUCUAGACCGACUGCCCGAGUAAUCGGGAGGAAGGAAAGGAUGACGUCUGGUCGUCAUGGCCCUUAUGCCUUGGGCGACACACGUGCUACAAUGGUUAAUACAAAGGGACGCCAACCCGCGAGGGGGAGCAAAUCUCAAAAAAUUAGCCUCAGUUCGGAUUGGAGGCUGCAACUCGCCUCCAUGAAGUUGGAAUUGCUAGUAAUCGCAAAUCAGCCAUGUCGCGGUGAAUACGUUCCCG
rnacentral:rRNA from 1 species